rnacentral:rRNA from 1 species
UACGAAGGGGGCUAGCGUUGCUCGGAAUCACUGGGCGUAAAGCGCACGUAGGCGGCUUUCUAAGUCAGGGGUGAAAUCCUGGAGCUCAACUCCAGAACUGCCUUUGAUACUGGGAAGCUCGAGUCCGGAAGAGGUGAGUGGAACUCCGAGUGUAGAGGUGAAAUGCGUAGAUAUCUGGAGGAACACCGGUGGCGAAGGCGGCAUCCUGGACCAUUACUGACACUGAAUAGCGAAAGCCAGGGGAGCAAACGGG